rnacentral:rRNA from 1 species
AACGUAGGGGACAAGCGUUAUCCGGAUUUACUGGGCGUAAAGCGCCCGUAGGCGGCUUGAUAAGUUGGACGUGAAAGCUCCCGGCUUAACUGGGAGAGGCCGUUCAAAACUGACAGGCUAGAGUGAGGAAGAGGAGAGCGGAAUUCCCGGUGUAGUGGUGGAAUGCGUAGAUAUCAGGAGGAACACCGAUGGCGAAGGCAGCUCUCUGGGACGGUACUGACGCUGAGACGCGAAAGCGUGGGGAGCGAACAGG